rnacentral:tRNA from 1 species
UGUUCAGUGGCUUAGUUGGUUAAAGUGCCGGUAUCGCUACGAAGUCGUGGGUUCGAAUCCCACCAACACAA